ensembl:lncRNA
AAACACCAGCUUCCACUCCUUCCCACAAGGCUGGGCUGAGAGAACUCAGGGAGCUGCCUCCAGCAAAUACAUACCCAGCAUCCUCACCACACACACGGCCCCAUGAAAAACAAGCAAAAAUGGGGCCGGCAGGAGAGGCAGACACAGAGAUGUCUAUCCAUUUCGGGGACGCCUUUGGCCCAUUCUGGAUUCCUCUGCGGCAAGCACUGACUUGCAAGCAUUGGAAGGAAUUGGUUGUGAAGGUUUUACCAAUUAGCAGGGAGCCGAGCCUCCUCCUCUUGGCUGCUCCAUGUGGAGCUGGUUGCCCUGUGGUUCUGGAUACUUUUUCUUUUUCUUUUUCUGUCGCAGCUUCUGGGGAGGUGGGCCUAGUCUCUGCGCAGCUGACAUGAGGCAGAGGGGGAUGUACCCAACCAUCUACAAGCAGCGUCCACUUAAGGUCUUCUAAACCAUCUCUGACAAGCUUCAAGGGAGGCCCAUGCCUAUGGAAUAUCUCUUCAUCCACUCCAUGGGUUCAGCAGCUCUUUUCUGGACUUUGCAGCUCUAUCCUGUCUGUUUUGAGAAUUAAUCGAGGGAGCAAUAUACUAUAAUGGAUAACUUCAGGAUCCUUGCAGUUUGCAAGUCCAGAGACCAAGCACAGGCUCUGCCGUGGAAUUGCUCUGUGACCCGGGCCAAUGUGCUUCACUUUCCUGAGCCUAUUUCCUCAUCAGGAAAAUCAGAAGAGCAAUAGCAUACUCUUUAUCAGGUUGUUAUAAGAACUAAACAAAUGAAGACUUGUACCUGUUAGAACAGCAGCGGGUCCAUACAAACAUCAACAUGAUUAUCCAGAAACACAAACAUAACCAGAUGAUUGAGUUUUUCUCUUCUUUACAUGAACGUUUGGCAACCACCAUCUCUGUGUUUGAUAGGAAUACAAUCCCAGGAUUUUUCUGACCCUAAGUAAAGUGCAGUUGAUUCCAUCUAGCCUUAAAAAAAAAAUUGUUCUAAUGUGUUGACCUUGCAUGUGCCAUAUGUAAGACCACAUAAUGCAUCUUACUGGAAGCCACGUUCAUUAUUUAUCAUUUGUUCAAUGCCCACUCUUGACCGGGCACUAUGUUAGGUAGUGAUAGCUCAAAGAAGAACAAACCAAAGCCUUUAUCCUCAGAAACCUUACAGUGUUCUUCCUAGUACGCACAUCGUUACUGUAAGCAUUGCCCUCUGUAUCAGUCAGUGUUUAAGUACUGUAACAAACAGUCCCAAUGUCUCAGUGGCUCAAUAAAGGUUUAUUUCUUAUUCACAUUG